rnacentral:rRNA from 1 species
GACGAACGCUGGCGGCGUGCCUAAUACAUGCAAGUUGAGCGCUGAAGGCUGGUACUUGUGCCAUCUGGAUGAGCAGCGCACGGGUGAGUAACGCGUGGGGCAUGUGCCUUUGUGCGGGGGACCAUCUUUGGACACGCAUGCAUAUACGGCAUAAGAACUUUAUACACAAGUUGUAAGGUUGAAAGAUGCAAUUGCGUCAGUUAAGGAUGAUCUCGCGUUGUGUUAGUUAGGUGGUGGGGUAAUGGCUCACCAAGGCGUUGAUGGAGAGACGGACUGAGAGGGUGACCGGGCACAUUGGGACUGAGAUACGGCCCAGACGCCUACGGGAGGCAGCAGUGGGGAAUAUUGCACAAUGGGCGGAAGCCUGAUGCAGGAACGCCGCGUGCGGGAUGACGGCCUUCGGGUUGUAAACCGCUUGCGCCUGUGACGAAGCGUGAGUGACGGUAAUGAGUAAAGAAGCACCGGCUAACUACGUG